GUCAGCAUCGACAUCCUCAACACCACCAACACCGUCUAUGUAAAAGUGGAGCUGCAACGCAUAUGGAACAACUACACCAACACUUUCAGGAUCCCUGUUAUGAUGGCCAAAGGCGACUUUACUAAAGGAACGACUGGGACGAUAUCACUGAAUGUGCCAAGGGACAUCACUGACGGAAGUUACCGUCUCCAUGUCCGUGGUAGCGGAGCUCUGCA